GCUGCAAGCUUGUUGGGGCAGCACAUGGACUGAAAUGGGAAUGACGUAUAGAAGAUGGCAUGGCCCCCAAGGGUGACAUGCAAAUUGGAGAAGUAUUUCACAGUUCU
ensembl:snRNA U6 U6 spliceosomal RNA